UGGGGUGUAGCUCAGAGGUAGAGUGCAUACUUAGAAAGUAUGAAGUCCUGGGUUCAGUUCUCACCACCACAA
rfam:Ictidomys tridecemlineatus contig063422, whole genome shotgun sequence.